rnacentral:rRNA from 1 species
UACGUAGGGUGCGAGCGUUGUCCGGAAUUACUGGGCGUAAAGAGCUCGUAGGUGGUUUGUCGCGUUGUUCGUGAAAACUCACAGCUCAACUGUGGGCGUGCGGGCGAUACGGGCAGACUGGAGUACUGCAGGGGAGACUGGAAUUCCUGGUGUAGCGGUGAAAUGCGCAGAGUAUCAGGAGGAACACCGGUGGCGAAGGCGGGUCUCUGGGCCGAUACUGACGCUGGAGGAGCGAAAGCCGUGGGGAGCGAACAGG